UCACGUUCCUAGGGAUGGAAAAGGACAGACGCCGUGCGGCUCCCCUCAUAGGAAGUACGUAGGGUAGUCACGUUCCUAGGGACGGAAAAGGACAGACGCCGUGCAGCUCCCCUCAUAGGAAGUACGUAGGGUAGUCAUAUUCCUAGGGAUGGAAAAGGACAGACGCCGUGCGGCUCCCCUCAUAGGAAGUACGUAGGGUAGUCACGUUCCUAGGGAUGGAAAAGGACAGACGCCGUGCGGCUCCCCUCAUAGGAAGUACGUAGGGUAGUCACGUUCCUAGGGAUGGAAAAGGACAGACACCGUGCAGCUCCCCUCAUAGGAAGUACGUAGGGUAGUCAUAUUCCUAGGGAUGGAAAAGGACAGACGCCGUGCGGCUCCCCUCAUAGGAAGUACGUAGGGUAGUCACAUUCCUAGGGACGGAACAGGACAGACGCCGUGCGGCUCCCCUCAUAGGAAGUACGUAGG
rnacentral:lncRNA from 1 species